AUCGUUAGCCAGCUGCGCAAGCAGCAGCUACAGCUGCUGGUGUGCAAAAGUGGAAAAUCAACUACAAAAAAAAAUAGAAUGUUAACAAAGAAGCUGUAAUAAAAACGGGAAGAGGAAAAACAGCCUAAAAGUGUUGGAAAAUAGUAUAAGUAAAUAAAUCUAAAAGAAUCCGCCAAACAACAAACACGCAUCGAAGCAGGGCCCUCAGCAGAGCUUGAUUUUUGUUUUGUUUGUAUCGUCGCGUUUCUUUCCAAAAAUCUACGAAUACAGUUCGAAUACAGCUGCUAGUGUGAAAACGGCAUAACAAGAAUAGGGAGUAAAAGGAGACGAAGGAUAAAAGAGAAAUGUGUGUCUGUGGAAAGAAAGCUUCCACCAAAUCUCGCUGCUGACGUCGUAACUAGAAGUCUUAUCCGUGCAUCUAAUAAUGAAUACUAAUUAUGUUAUCCCUUUCAGCCCCGGACUUGUGCCCUUUGCUUGCUACGAUGUUAGUCGGACCGUGGACAAGUCCAUCAACUGUCGGGACGUAAUAUUUACCUUGUGUCGCUCUGAUAAGUGUCCGGGCACAUCAUGCAUAAUGAACCAGUAUGUUAUGUCACAUACCUGUGUCCCAUUUCGGUGCAUGCACAAUGACAGAUCGCGCGACGCCGGAGAAAGCGUUGACCCAAAACCCAUGACCCAGAGGUGCACUGGGAACAGAAACGAGGAAUACUAAAGAGGCUGUUUGAAGAGCUUGGCCUCUCGGCUACUGCCAAGCAGCUGUUCAGCAGCUGAUUAGCGAUUGACUCCGCAAAGAACACUGCAUAGUUUUCUCCUCCGAAAAAGAUAUAAAAGGAAAUGAGGAUCUAAACAUGCCCGAAGCCUGUGGAUGCAUGUCAAGACCGGUCUGCACCCGCUGCCGCAUUCGCAAAUUGUGUGAUCAGUUCUUUACAGAUCAGGAAACAAGUUUAAGCAUGCUGUCGGCCUACGAGACGAAGGUUGGCAUCCAAAGACGAGGCAGUCAAUGAAAAAUAUACCCUCGAGCACAUCGCAUAUCCUCUCCAAGCUUAUAACGAUUUUCAGUCAAAUGCACAACAUGUACGAUAUACAAAAGGGGCAGAAUGAUAUGAUAUGAAGAAUCUGCAGGACCUUCGUGAAGUGUGUGAGGCAGAAUGCACCAGCUUAGAGUCAGCUCGGGGUCAACGCCAAGCUCUACGCUCGCUAUUAAAAUCACCUAAAGGUAACCACAAAGACUCGAAGAGAAAGGAAAGAGACCCCACCUUUCGAAAUCUAAGCGGUGAGUUGUGUUGGCAGUUGAUAUUACCAGAUAAUAUAUUCUGAUUAUAUCGCAUGGUCCCAAGAUACACGUACUUGGACAUUCAGAAGAAGCAGGUUCGGCCCCGCCUUGGACACAGGAGAUGCAUUAGCGACAGCAAAUACUGCCACAUGCAUGCUUAGGGAACGGGGAUGCCAAGAUAAGGUAGAAACAUUCGUUUACCCCCCAAUCGAGGAUGUCACUCCGCCUCUGGUGUCAUCAACCCGGAGCGACUGAAGAGUCGCACGUGAAGCACACUGAAACGCAGUGCAACGAAUGCCCUGCAUGUUUCCCCAUACUGCAAAUCCUUUUGCACAAUACAUCGCAAGCGUGCUUGGUGAUCGAAAGAAACCAUUCGGCUGGAUAUACGGCAAGGGUAAUGUACGCCAGGUCCCCAAGGAACCGCUAAAGCGCAACCAGAGAAUGAUGAAGAAGCAGGAACUGCCGGGAUGUCAGUCGGGUGGAUUUGAUGACCCGAAUCGGUUCCAGGCUCCAUCUUAUACAUCAAGAAAAAAAUGGUACAAGUCCAAUUCCCAACCCUGUAAUAGUUCAACGACACUCGAAAUAGUCGUAGGAGUUCGGAACAAUAAAACUUACUUUACCAAUAUUUACUUAUUCUUUUUAUACCCGGUACUCAAAGAGUAAAUAGGGUAUAUUGUAUUUGUGCGCAUAACGGUUGUAUGUAACGCACAGAAGGAAGCGUUUCCGACCCCCUAAAAUAUAUAUAUUCUUGAUCAGCAUCAAUAGCCGAGUCGAUAGAGCCAUGUCUGUCUGUCCGUCUGUCCGUCUUGUUUGUCGGCUAGUUCUCAGAGACUAUAAGAGCUAGAGCCACCAAAUUUUGGCUCCGGACUGCUGUAUGCUCACACUGAAACCAGUGUAUUUCAAAAAUGAGCCAAGCGCCCUUCCGCCCCGCAAAAGAGCGAAAACCUCCCAAAUCUACAGUUUUGAAGAUGAAAGAAAAAUAAAAACGCCAUUCCGUUGGAAACGGCCAUAUCUAUCAGAUCACCAAAUUGGGAUCCGAUCGGAUCAUUAUUAUAGCCACAAUGGAGAAAUUAAUUUCCAGUGGCUAAUCGUUGUUCUUUUUACAUUCUCUCAUUCUGUUUCACUCGGCCCCUUCCUCUGCCCUCCCCCUGGCGAUUCCUCUUCCGACUUUUAACCCACCCCGUCCCGCAGCUUAUAUUUGUUUUUUUUUUUGUGUGAGGGCGCUGCCUCUGCCGCAAGUCAGCAGUAUGUGGGUCUAGGGAAGGGCGGUGAGCGUGUUGGUGUGAGAAGUGUUGUAGAUGUAGAUGACAGAUGAAGAAAAAAUUUAAAAUUUGACAAAACACCGCUGAGGUGCAGAUGCACUAUUGUCCCAAUGACCAGUUUUGGUGGCUGUUUACGCGAAAUUAGCGCAAAGGGCUUAUGGCCGGCAGCAAUUAAUAUUUUGUAUAAGUAAAAUGAAUUUCUAGUAUUAAGCUAUUGAAUUGUUGCAUUUACGACAUACUCACAGAAGUUUGUUGCUAUAGAACAUACAUGUAAUAUGUGAAUACGAUAGAGAAAGAUUGCAUGCAUUUAAUAGGUGAAUAUUGAAAUUGAAAAGAAGAAGAGAUUAAAUUGAUUUGAAUUCCGACUCGGUCGAACAGCACUUCGCUUUUUAUUUCGAG
rnacentral:lncRNA from 1 species